GAAAACUGUUCCAAUUCCAUUUUGGACUUAUCGUCGACGCUAUCUUGACGCACAUUUUUUAAAUCGCUUCUGAAAAUAUUUUGCUAUUUAAGCUAUUUUUCACAGUUUCACAAAAGUUUUAAUUGUAGACUGGAUAUGGCUGUUAUAACAUCGUCAAAGGAAUCAUUAUCACAAGCUUUACAAAAUCGAAUAAUACCUAAUCAAGAGUACUUACUACAAGGAUCUGUUUUAGAUUCUACUGUCGAACAUUUGAAACAAAGGAAAGAAGAACAGCUGCGCUAAGUUACGUUAUGUGUUUCCCUGUGGGCUACCUAGUGUAAUGAACCUCCUUUUGUUGAGGGUGUCUAUAGCUGGGAUAGUUCAGCCACAGCCAGGGUCCUUACAAGAAAAUUUAUAUAUACUCGACUCUGAGUACUGGUUUACCUACCGAUCAUUUUCUAUGGUCUCAAUUUAC